rnacentral:rRNA from 1 species
AUUGAACGCUGGCGGCAGGCCUAACACAUGCAAGUCGAGCGGAUGAAGGGAGCUUGCUCCUGGAUUCAGCGGCGGACGGGUGAGUAAUGCCUAUGAAUCUGCCUGGUAGUGGGGGAUAACGUCCGGAAACGGGCGCUAAUACCGCAUACGUCCUGAGGGAGAAAGUGGGGGAUCUUCGGACCUCACGCUAUCAGAUGAGCCUAGGUCGGAUUAGCUAGUUGGUGGGGGAAAGGCCUACCAAGGCGACGAUCCGUAACUGGUCUGAGAGGGUGAUCAGUCACCCUGGAACUGAGACACGGUCCAGACUCCUACGGGAGGCAGCAGUGGGGAAUAUUGGCCAAUGGGCGAAAGCCUGAUCCAGCCAUGCCGCGUGUGUGAAGAAGGUCUUCGGAUUGUAAAGCACUUUAAGUUGGGAGGAAGGGCAGUAAGUUAAUACCUUGCUGUUUUGACGUUACCAACAGAAUAAGCACCGGCUAACUUCGUG